AAGAUUUUAAGAAGUCAAACAGUUUCUCUUUGUGUAGACAAUUUUAUUGUUCAAGUAAGAGCUGCAUGCCUCAAGUAAUAAAGAGAAAGGCAUGCAUGUGCUUGGUGCUGGCUAUGUUGCUACUCUUCACAAUAAGUACCUCCCUCAGUGGGGCCCACCGGCCUUCCGCUGUUGGUCUCUGUUGAACCUGCACCAAUGGAGAUCGAAGGUUUCCCCCUGGCCCACUGUCUCUGAUUAUUAGUCAAGAAAAAGGGUGAAUAAUAGGCAAUCAAUGAAAAGGAGAGAGAUUGAGAGAGAGGGGGGAGAGAGAGAGAUAGAGAGAGAGAGGGAGAGAGAGGGAGAGAGGGAGGGAGGGAGGGAGGGAGAGAGAGAGAGAGAGAGAGAGAGAGAGAGUAUGUGUAUUUAUUGGUCAACUCUAGUUUACGGAGAGUUGAACCCUGAUUAUUAAUCAUGUAAUGAGCUUUGGUGAGCAUAGGAAUUG
rnacentral:lncRNA from 1 species